rnacentral:rRNA from 1 species
UACGUAGGGGGCAAGCGUUGUUCGGAAUUACUGGGCGUAAAGGGCGCGUAGGCGGCAGGCCAAGUCGGGAGUGAAAGCCCGGGGCUCAACCCCGGAAUGUCUUUCGAAACUGGCCAGCUGGAGUGCGGAAGAGGCAACUGGAAUUCCCAGUGUAGCGGUGAAAUGCGUAGAUAUUGGGAAGAACACCUGAGGCGAAGGCGGGUUGCUGGGCCGACACUGACGCUGAGGCGCGAAAGCCAGGGGAGCAAAGCGGG